UGAUGUAUGGAAAAGUCCAAGCUGGACUGGAGACUGAAGUACAGAUGAAAUCAGUGUGCAGAUACUGAAAGGGGAGAAAAGCCAUUGUUCAUCACAAACAAAAAGAGCCAAAGCAAAAGGCUCAAAGAAGAAAUGAUGUUGAAAGGAUUAAACGUAGUUCCUGAAUAGAAGUGAAAGUCCAUCACUGCUCCACUAAGAUGACUUCGCGGCAGCCUUGCCCCUCAGAUGACUUCCGUGUCUACUAUGUCCUUGCAGAGUGCACAGAUAACUACGAUCCCUUUCCAGCUAAGGAGGCUGAUGAGAACCAGCCCCACUUCCAGGGGGUGACUGGCCUGCGGAACUUGGGCAACACCUGCUACAUGAAUGCCAUCUUACAGUGCCUCUGCAGCGUCUCGCCGCUGGUGGAAUAUUUUCUCUCCGGAAAGUACAUCACCUCUCUUCAAAAGGACUGCAGUGAGGUCGCCACUGCCUUUGCCUACCUGAUGACAGACAUGUGGCUUGGGGACUCAGACUGUGUCUCACCGGAAAUAUUUUGGUCAGCUCUUGGCAACCUGUACCCUGCAUUUAUGAAAAAGAGGCAACAAGACGCCCAGGAAUUCUUGAUUUAUGUUCUGAAUGAACUUCAUGAAGCUCUGAAAAAGUACCACCGAAGACGAUCAUAUGAAAAAGGAUCGAUUCCAAGAUGCUGCAGGAAGAUGAUUGCCAAUGAGUCCUCCAUCAUCACCCGGCUGUUUGAAGGGCAGCUCAAUUACAGCAUCGUGUGUCUGAAGUGUGAGAACUGCACCUACAAGAAUGAGGUCUUCACAGUCCUCUCCCUCCCCGUUCCAUCUGAGUAUGAAUGUGCUCUUCAGGACUGUCUCCAGUGUUUUUUUCAACAAGAUACACUGACCUGGAACAACCAAAUUUAUUGCUCCUUUUGUGAAACCAACCAAGAAACAGCUGUAAGAGCCAGUAUUUCCAAAGCACCAAAAAUAAUUAUCUUUCACUUAAAAAGGUUUGACAUUCUGGGUACAAUGAAAAGAAAACUGAGAACACAUAUUCAUUACCCACUCACUAACUUGGACCUUACUCCUUACAUCUGUCCAGUUUUUCGGAAACAUCCUAAGUAUAACCUCUGUGCAGUGGUGAACCACUUUGGUGAUCUGGAUGGUGGCCACUACACUGCUUUCUGCAAGAACUCUGUCACCCAGGCCUGGUAUAGCUUUGAUGACACACGAGUCAGUGAGAUUCCAGAUACUUCAGUUCAAACUACUACAGCCUAUCUCCUGUUUUAUAGCUGCCAGCCCUUUUCUAUACCUAUCCAAAAAUGCAAGAGCUAGAAACAUGGUUUCUGAAAUUUGCAAAACAAGCAAUCAGAAACUAGUACUUCGAUUUUGCUUAGUCAUUAAACUCUUGCUUGCUUCAGUGACAUUUGUUUUCUUGCAUAAUAGGCAAACUUUUGAAAGAUAAGUUAAAUAUCUUAAUUGUGUAACUUUUGUUCAAGUGGCUCUAAUUGAUCAGAUAAUGUAGUCAAGAAGCUCUAAGUAUCUUAGACUAAUGCAGAACAAGAAAAGCUGUCAACUCUGAUUCAAAUCCCAUUCUUUUGUCUUCUGAGAUUGUUUUUUAGGAUCCUAUGUUAUUGACCUAAUUUUUAGCCACGGAGUCCUAAGCUACAUCAGUUGCUCGUGGUCCCAAUGAAGUAUAAAAGAGGAUAUAAGCCGCUGAAGAUUUCACAGAAGAAAUGGAGAUAUCAGAAACUUCAUGAUCAUCAAAUUUAAACCACCGCUGUCUUGCUGCAUUUUUACAAUAGGCAGUAUAAUGGCCUCCAUCCAGUCCACCGUAGUGAUUCUGUGCCAAACAAGACAGAAAAUCAAUUCAGUUGAAUUAUUUUAAAUAUGUUAAUUCCAAAGCGCUGUUUUUUCUCAUGAAGGAACAAGUAUUUUCAGUUCAAUGAGAUACUUACUGAAACAGAAAACAAGUUAUAUUUCUUCAAAUUGUUCUUUGGACCAAUAACAUACUGCGACAGGUCAAGAUUUUCUAAUGGGAAGUCCACAGAUGUCUGUAAUUUUUGCUUCCACCUGCCAUCGUAGGAAAAACUGCAGAGCAAAAUAUUACAGCAAUUACACUGACAGAUCAGACAUCAGAAAACCCAAAUUCAUUAAACAACCUAGAUUUUUAGCUAGGACAGUACAACAAUCCAUUUCAAAUAUUAAGAAUUUUAGUAAUGGAGGACCUGUACACUUGGUUUCAUUUUCCUUUUACAGAUGUGGAAACAAUAGCGACUUGCUCAAGGUCAAAGAACUUGAGUGGCAGGGUGAUAACUGAGGCAUCUGUACUCCACACAGACUAAAGAUUCAGUGUGAAGACAUGGGCUAUAUUUUAUAUCUACCUCACCAUUACUUCUUCCAUUACACAGCUAGACCUUUCUCACUGGCUGGAAAAAAUUGGACAAAAAUAUGCCUGCUGUCAACAAUGGCAUCAUUUAACUUAUUAUCUUUAAAAUUACACUUUUAAAACACAUUUCAUAUUCAGCACAAGAUUUUUACCUUUUAAUGAUUGUUUUAUAUUUAAGUUUCACUGAUUUUUUAAAAAAACAGAAUUACAGGAAAUAGUGUAUUGUCAUUUUGCUCUAUUGCAAACACUAAGGUGAACUAAUAGUUUCAUUGUUUCUGCUUAUUUUCCUAGAGCUACCCUAACUUUUCUUAACUAUGCAUCACUGGUAGGCAACAACAUUCAAGAAUUCAGAAUUCCCUCACUGGUACUAAACAGAGAAUCCCGUCGAGCUCUGCAAUGACUACAGUAAAACCUGUUAUUAUCUGUGAGUUUUUCUUCUUUGGAAAAUAACCUAAGGCAAUCCUGGAGAAAAACACAAAUAGAUUUAUUCAACAAUAAACUAGAAUAAAACAGCUCCUGCUUGCACAAAGUGUAUGAUCUAGUGAAGAACACACACAGGAGACUGCUUUCACUACCUACCAUGAAAGAUUAAAAGGCACUGAAAGGGAGCUUAAACAUCUAAAGAACUGCUUUAAUAAUGAGCUCGGAGAAGGAAGUAACAGUAUCUUCUAAGUUAUAAAACCAGCCAAAAACAUUCCUACUUCCCUCAUCAGAAUGAUUCUAACAACAAAAAAAUAAAACAAGUUGAGAACAAACCUCUG